AUUGUAGUCAAUGGAUCAUAAAGAAUAUGUAUUUAAAAUUGACAUUAGAUAAAUUAUUCCACAUUAUCUUUUACAUGAACUAUAUGGUUCAUAUUUAAUUAGUAAGUAAAUGGUAUUAAAUUUAAAUAAAAAUUGUCUCUUAAAAUGAUUCAUAUUUAAUAAGGAACAUUUUUUUUUUUGGCUUGGGUAGCUUUGAAUAUCCUUGGGUUUGAAUUGUGACCCUUUUAAAAAUUUAUGUCUUGAAAAAAUAACUACAAAGAUUAAACUAUGUUUUGAACAUAUUUGAUUCUAAAUUGUGGUCAAGAAGAAAUUCAAUUGAUAUUAGAAAUUCUAAGAGGUAUGAAUCUAAUUUAAAUAUUUGAAUCUAAUUAUCUUUUACAGAGUAACAUAAUUCAUUGAUUCCAUUGGAGACCUGCGAAUUGGUUCGCGCGAAUCAAUUCGCGGUACUUCCGCGUAUUGCUUUGUCGGAAUUUGUGUGAAAUUUUUUAGACACAAGCAUAUCAUGAGUACCCGUAGAAAAAUCCAAAAAAAUAGACCUAUAAAUAGUUUCUAAAGAUUACGAUGAAAAGGAGGAAACUGCUGUUACAAUAUGAAGAAAUAGAUCUAAAAACUGGGUUUGAAAAGGAAGCAGCUGUUGUUGUUACAUUAGGUAGGAAGGAGGAAGAUGAUAAUGAAAUUCGGGUUUUUCGUCCUAGAUCAUUAUAUUCAUUGGGCCACUGGAUUGUUUGUAUAUGGGUGUGUUUGGUCUAUUUGAAUUAAAGUAUAAGUUACAAUUAUAAUCUUACCUCCUUACAAAAAAAAUUAUAAUCUUAAGAAAAAGUUACAAUUGUUUUAGAAAAGAAAACAUAUGUUAUUGAUUAUUAUUUUUCAUAACGUACUAAUUAAUACAUUAGCAUCUACCAUGAACCGAAA
rnacentral:lncRNA from 1 species